ACUCCUACGGGAGGCAGCAGUAGGGAAUCUUCGGCAAUGGACGGAAGUCUGACCGAGCAACGCCGCGUGAGUGAAGAAGGUUUUUCGGAUCGUAAAGCUCUGUUGUAAGAGAAGAACGAGUGUGAGAGUGGAAAGUUCACACUGUGACGGUAUCUUACCAGAAAGGGACGGCUAACUACGUGCCAGCAGCCGCGGUAAUACGUAGGUCCCGAGCGUUGUCCGGAUUUAUUGGGCGUAAAGCGAGCGCAGGCGGUUAGAUAAGUCUGAAGUUAAAGGCUGUGGCUUAACCAUAGUACGCUUUGGAAACUGUUUAACUUGAGUGCAAGAGGGGAGAGUGGAAUUCCAUGUGUAGCGGUGAAAUGCGUAGAUAUAUGGAGGAACACCGGUGGCGAAGCGGCUCUCUGGCUUGUAACUGACGCUGAGGCUCGAAAGCGUGGGGAGCAAACAGGA
rnacentral:rRNA from 1 species